UACGAAGGGUGCAAGCGUUACUCGGAAUUACUGGGCGUAAAGCGUGCGUAGGUGGUUCGUUAAGUCUGAUGUGAAAGCCCUGGGCUCAACCUGGGAAUGGCAUUGGAAACUGGCGACCUAGAGUGCGGUAGAGGGCAGUGGAAUUCCCGGUGUAGCAGUGAAGUGCGUAGAGAUCGGGAGGAACAUCUGUGGCGAAGGCGACUGCCUGGACCAGCACUGACACUGAGGCACGAAAGCGUGGGGAGCAAACAGG
rnacentral:rRNA from 1 species